rnacentral:rRNA from 1 species
GACGAACGCUGGCGGCGUGCCUAAUACAUGCAAGUAGAACGCUGAAGGAGGAGCUUGCUUCUCUGGAUGAGUUGCGAACGGGUGAGUAACGCGUAGGUAACCUGCCUGGUAGCGGGGGAUAACUAUUGGAAACGAUAGCUAAUACCGCAUAAGAGUAGAUGUCGCAUGACAUUUGCUUAAAAGGUGCAAUUGCAUCACUACCAGAUGGACCUGCGUUGUAUUAGCUAGUUGGUGAGGUAACGGCUCACCAAGGCAACGAUACAUAGCCGACCUGAGAGGGUGAUCGGCCACACUGGGACUGAGACACGGCCCAGACUCCUACGGGAGGCAGCAGUAGGGAAUCUUCGGCAAUGGACGGAAGUCUGACCGAGCAACGCCGCGUGAGUGAAGAAGGUUUUCGGAUCGUAAAGCUCUGUUGUAAGAGAAGAACGAGUGUGAGAGUGGAAAGUUCACACUGUGACGGUAUCUUAACAGAAAGAGACGGCUAACUACGUG